GUGGGGAAUAUUGGACAAUGGGCGAAAGCCUGAUCCAGCCAUGCCGCGUGUGUGAAGAAGGUCUUCGGAUUGUAAAGCACUUUAAGUUGGGAGGAAGGGCAGUAAGUUAAUACCUUGCUGUUUUGACGUUACCGACAGAAUAAGCACCGGCUAACUCUGUGCCAGCAGCCGCGGUAAUACAGAGGGUGCAAGCGUUAAUCGGAAUUACUGGGCGUAAAGCGCGCGUAGGUGGUUCGUUAAGUUGGAUGUGAAAGCCCCGGGCUCAACCUGGGAACUGCCUCCAAAACUGCAUGACUAGAGUACGGUAGAGGGUAGUGGAAUUUCCUGUGUAGCGGUGAAAUGCGUAGAUAUAGGAAGGAACACCAGUGGCGAAGGCGACUACCUGGACUGAUACUGACACUGAGGUGCGAAAGCGUGGGGAGCAAACAGGAUUAGAUACCCGGGUAGUCC
rnacentral:rRNA from 1 species